rnacentral:rRNA from 1 species
GACGAACGCUGGCGGCGUGCCUAAUACAUGCAAGUCGAGCGGACCGAACAGGAGCUUGCUCUUGUUCGGUUAGCGGCGGACGGGUGAGUAACACGUGGGUAACCUGCCCGUAAGACCGGGAUAACUCCGGGAAACCGGAGCUAAUACCGGAUAACACCGAAGACCGCAUGGUCUUUGGUUGAAAGGCGGCUUCGGCUGCCACUUACGGAUGGGCCCGCGGCGCAUUAGCUAGUUGGUGAGGUAACGGCUCACCAAGGCGACGAUGCGUAGCCGGCCUGAGAGGGUGACCGGCCACACUGGGACUGAGACACGGCCCAGACUCCUACGGGAGGCAGCAGUAGGGAAUCUUCCGCAAUGGACGAAAGUCUGACGGAGCGACGCCGCGUGAGCGAAGAAGGUCUUCGGAUCGUAAAGCUCUGUUGUUAGGGAAGAAGAAGCGUCGUUCGGACAGGGCGGCGCGGUGACGGUACCUAACGAGAAAGCCCCGGCUAACUACGUG